rnacentral:rRNA from 1 species
GAUGAAAGCUGACGGCGUGCCUAAUACAUGCAAGUCGAGCGAACGGACGAGAAGCUUGCUUCUCUGAUGUUAGCGGCGGACGGGUGAGUAACACGUGGAUAACCUACCUAUAAGACUGGGAUAACUUCGGGAAACCGGAGCUAAUACCGGAUAAUAUUUUGAACCGCAUGGUUCAAAAGUGAAAGACGGUCUUGCUGUCACUUAUAGAUGGAUCCGCGCUGCAUUAGCUAGUUGGUAAGGUAACGGCUUACCAAGGCAACGAUGCAUAGCCGACCUGAGAGGGUGAUCGGCCACACUGGAACUGAGACACGGUCCAGACUCCUACGGGAGGCAGCAGUAGGGAAUCUUCCGCAAUGGGCGAAAGCCUGACGGAGCAACGCCGCGUGAGUGAUGAAGGUCUUCGGAUCGUAAAACUCUGUUAUUAGGGAAGAACAUAUGUGUAAGUAACUGUGCACAUCUUGACGGUACCUAAUCAGAAAGCCACGGCUAACUACGUG